UUCGAAGAUACACGAAGAACCUUACCUGGCCUUGACAUGGUAGGAACCCUUAAGAGAUUAGGGGUGCUAGCUUGCUAGAACCUACACACAGGUGCUGCACGGCUGUCGUCAGCUCGUGUCGUGAGAUGUUGGGUUAAGUCCCGCAACGAACGCAACCCUCGUCCUUAGUUGCUAACAGUUCGGCUGAGCACUCUAGGGAGACUGCCUUCGCAAGGAGGAGGAAGGUGAGGACGACGUCAAGUCAUCAUGGCCCUUACGGCCAGGGCUACACACGUGCUACAAUGGGGCGUACAGAGAGCUGCGAUACCGCGAGGUGGAGCCAAUCUCUUAAAGCGUCUCUCAGUUCGGAUUGUUCUCUGCAACUCGAGAACAUGAAGCUGGAAUCACUAGUAAUCGCAGAUCAGCUAUGCUGCGGUGAAUACGUUCCCGGGUCUU
rnacentral:rRNA from 1 species